rnacentral:lncRNA from 1 species
UUUUGGAGUUCUUAGAUGAUUUGUAAGUCUGGAUAAGCUAAGACAGACCACAAAGUAGUCCACUUUUGAGGACUGGUAAGAUUACUUAGACUCAUCCAAGGCAUCUUUCAAUAAAUUUAUAAAUAAGCAUUGUAAAUUGUCCAAAUAUUUUCAAAUGAAACAAAUGAGUGUGAAGAUACUUGACAGAUGCCCCAGCCUAGUGCCUUCCUUCUGUCUUUUGUAGAUACUCUAAAAGUUUGGUCUUAGCCAUGGUUGCAGAUUCACGAAUAGUUUGAAAGAAGUUGCUCCUUGAUAAAUAGCAGGUGAGAAUAGGGGCACAAUGGUAGCCCAGAUUGCCUGGAUCUAAUGCGCAAAUUCUAAGUUUUUUCUGUUGUGCAGAUAUAUGUUCUAGUUAUGUAAUGCUUACAAACUCACUACUUUUAUAUUUUGUUUGGGAUUUCGUCUUUCCAGGACUGGCUAUGGUCGACCACAGCAGGAUGCUCUGAGGUUAAUUAUAGGCCUCUGCUUAGGAGAAAGUCUCUGAGGAUAAACAAACCAAAGACAUGUGGCCUAUUUUGAGGUUUCCUGGGGCCUGAUGACUCACAGGAGUACAAGACACACAUUUUGUCUUUCUGUUCUCUCAGCCAUGAUUCUAGAUUCUUGGAUUGCAACUGUAAAACAAGAGAAAGAAAAAAAAGAAAUAAGAAGAGAAAGAGGAAGGGGAAGCAGGAGGAGGAAGAAGAAGACAAAGAAGGAAGAGAAGAAGACAAAGAAGACAAUAACAUUGCUGUGCUCAUCAGGCUUACAAUUUACUGUCAUAGACUAAAAUUUCCAAAAGGUGGAAACAAACAUGUUAGUUACCAUUCUAGUUACUUUAUUUAUCUACUUUUGAUAAUGACGAUGAUAACAUUUAGAUGAUGAUGGGAAUGAAAAAAAGAUCUGAUUUCAUGCUCACUUAUGAGUUCUAUCUUUCAAUAUUUUUUUAAAAUAGUGUCCUAGUUUAUAGAAGUCUGUGAGUAGAUUCAGUUGAGGGAAGAAAUCCAAAAUAGACUGGAUGCUAAAGUACCAAGUAAAGAUGGCAAAUUACAGAAAUAAUGGGACCUCAUACUGGUGAUUCUCAAACUUUGCUGCAUUUUCAAAUCACCUGGGGAGCUUUGUAAGAAUCCUGUCUCUCAUCUUAUAUCCCAUACCAAAUAAAUAAGACAAUCUGAGGUGAAACAUAGGUGUCAAGUGCUUUUUGCUUUGUUUUGUUUUGUUUUGUUUAUAACUCCCUUGAUUAUUUCAACAUGUGAACAAACUUGAAAGCCAAUGCACCAGGAAUAUUGUUCUCAAACUGUAAUGUAUGUUCUAAUCACCCAGGAAUCCUAUAAAAUGCAGAUUAUGGUUUAAUAGAUCCAGAGUGGGCCCCAGAUUCUCUGCUGCUGCUACUUUGUAGACAAAACAUUAAGUAGCAGGGCUCUAAACAUUUUCCCCCCAUGUCAGGACUGUAAGAACUCUGUAGAUAGCCACCAGCCCUUUUCUGAGCAAUGGGUACCUCAAACCCCAUUCAGUAUGAAUGAAAGCAUGUCAGUAUGCUAGGACUAGUGAAGCUUAGAAAUAUUUAGAGAAGAGGUUCACCAACAUAGGAUUCUGACAUGUUUGAAAACACCCCAUAGUAUGGUCUGAAUGUUAGUGUCCUCUGCAAAAUUAUAUGUUGAAAUAUUAUCCCUCAAGGUGAGAAUAUUAGGAUGUGGGGUCUUUGGGGAGAUGAUUGGUCAUAAGGGCUGAACUCUCAUAAAUGCAAUUGGUACAUCAACAGAAAAGGUCCAAGGGAGCUUGUUUGCCUCUUCCAUCACAUGAGGACACAGCAAGGUGUCAUCUAUGAUAAAGCAGGCCCUUCCCAGACACUGAAUCGGCUAAUGCCUUGAUCUUAGAUUUUCCAGAUUCCACAACUCUUAAGAAGUAAAUUUCUGAUAUUUGUUAGAUAUGCAGUGUAUGGUAUUUUGGUAUAGGAGUGCAAAUGGACUAAGACACUUCCCAUCCCAAUCUGAGCAGUAGAAGGACUCCUGGGACAUACACCUGGAGAUACUUAUCUUCUUCAAGGCCUUCAGGGAGUAUCAUCAUCACAUACUCAGCUCAUGUUUAAUCAACAACCAAACUUCUAGGAAGAGAAGAAAAAGGUUUAUCAUCUCUUUGUAAAACCCCAGUCUUGUAGUUUCAUAUCCUGAAUGUAUUUGGCAGAUGAAUAACCUGAGCACAGGUUGUUAUUCCACCUAGUGGGUGAUUAAACAAAUGACGAAUUCUUGGUUAUCAAAAUACUGAUAUGGCUUUGGGAUUUUGAACUGGUAAAUAUCCAUGAUGUGAAAAAUCAAGACACAUAUUGUAUAAUCUCAGUCCCAUAAAAUUGGAUGUUGUUUUAUAUACAGACAGGACCUAGAAGAACACAUAAAACUGUAAACUCUAUGUGAUUGUGGAUGACUUUGUUCUUUGCUUCUUGUGUUUUUCAGUUUUCUACAAUGCACACAUUAACUUUUAAAAAAUAAGCGUUAUUUAAAAAAUUUUUAAAAAAUGAUGAGAAAGACAUGUUUUUUUGUGUGUGAAAACAUAGGCAACAUUUAGAAAUGAGAUAUCUAGUCCCAGGAGUGAGCAUCCCAAUUUCUUCCUGAAACUGUAUUCUUAAUAAUAGCUUAAGAUACCUUUUUCCCUGCUCCAAAUAUUUAGUAGCUCUAUGAAAAAUUUAUUCUUGAAACAUGCUUUGCCCAUUUGGAUUUUAUAUUUAUUUGAAACAGUGUCCCCAGCCUUUUAAGAUUAAAAUUUAGGACAAAUACUCUGAAGUCAUCAACAAUGACUGACAUGAAAUAAAAAAGAAAUGUACCAGUUUAAGAAUGAUACUUGUUUUUCUGCAAAA